rnacentral:lncRNA from 1 species
CUAAUCACAUCAAGGAUGAACUUGUCACCAAUAGCCCUCUACAUAGUCCAACUGUGCCAGAACGUAGAAUGGGUCCUGGUCUUUCCCUUACAUAACAUAGCAUAACAUAACAGUCCAACUGUGCCAGAACGUAGAAUGGGUCCUGGUCUUUCCCUUACAUGGUGCCAGCAAACGUAGAAUGGGUCCCACUGGUCUUACAUUCGUACUGUACAUAUCACAUCAUCAUAUCAUAGAUCGAGGGCUUUGGAUCAUCCAACGUUCAUCCACAUCAAUCAACAAUAAAGUAUGCAAUGCAACAUAUUCGUGAAUUCUAAUGCAAACAACCUAGUACAUC